UGGUGACCAUAUCGGAAAGGCUCCACCUGUUCCCAUCCCGAACACAGCAGUUAAGCUUUCCGAGCCGAUGAUAGUGCCCACCAGUGCGAAAGUAGGUAUCGC
rnacentral:rRNA from 1 species